rnacentral:RNase_P_RNA from 1 species
UCAGCAAGAUGAGCAACCGCUCCCGUUCGCGUAAGUGAAAUUAGGGGGAGGAAAGUCCGAACACUUACUUUUUAAUUAAAAAGUUAAAAUGGUAGCGGGUAACACCCGUCGGCGGUAACGCCAGAGGUGCGAACAGAAACGACCCGGUUAAGUCCGGCUGAAACGGCUAAAUCCUUACCUAAGUGCAAGAACAAAGCCCUGAUUAUUGCUUCAUCAGUAAAAGGGGUUAAAAGUAGUUCGCUUGAUCCUAACAGUAAUGUUAUGGACAGACAGAUGGUUGCUUAAUACAGAAUUCGGCUUAUAGUCUUGCUGGGACA